rnacentral:rRNA from 1 species
GACGAACGCUGGCGGCGUGCCUAAUACAUGCAAGUCGAGCGAAUCAAUAGGAGCUAGCUCCUGUUGGUUAGCGGCGAACGGGUGAGUAACACGUGGGUAACCUGCCCAUCAGAAGGGGAUAACACUUGGAAACAGGUGCUAAUACCGUAUAACACUAUUUUCCGCAUGGAAGAAAGUUGAAAGGCGCUUUUGCGUCACUGAUGGAUGGACCCGGGGUGCAUUAGCUAGUUGGUGAGGUAACGGCUCGCCAAGGCAACGAUGCAUAGCCGACCUGAGAGGGUGAUCGGCCACACUGGGACUGAGACACGGCCCAGACUCCUACGGGAGGUAGCAGUAGGGAAUCUUCGGCAAUGGACGAAAGUCUGACCGAGCAACGCCGCGUGAGUGAAGAAGGUUUUCGGAUCGUAAAACUCUGUUGUUAGAGAAGAACAAGGAUGAGAGUAAAACGUUCAUCCCUUGACGGUAUCUAACCAGAAAGCCACGGCUAACUACGUGCCAGCCGCCGCAGUAA